rnacentral:rRNA from 1 species
AUUGAACGCUGGCGGAAUGCUUUACACAUGCAAGUCGAACGGCAGCACGGACUUCGGUCUGGUGGCGAGUGGCGAACGGGUGAGUAAUGUAUCGGAACGUGCCCAGUCGUGGGGGAUAACGUAGUGAAAAUUACGCUAAUACCGCAUACGAUCUAUGGAUGAAAGCGGGGGAUCGCAAGACCUCGCGCGAUUGGAGCGGCCGAUAUCAGAUUAGGUAGUUGGUGGGGUAAAGGCCCACCAAGCCAACGAUCUGUAGCUGGUCUGAGAGGACGACCAGGCACACUGGAACUGAGACACGGUCUAGACUCCUACGGGAGGCAGCAGUGGGGAAUUUUGGACAAUGGGCGAAAGCCUGAUCCAGCCAUUCCGCGUGCAGGAUGAAGGCCCUCGGGUUGUAAACUGCUUUUGUACAGAACGAAAAGGUUUCUACUAAUACUAGGAGCUCAUGACGGUACUGUAAGAAUAAGCACCGGCUAACUACGUGCCAGCCGCCGCAGUAA